rnacentral:rRNA from 1 species
UCGGCUUAACCGGAGAAGUGCAUNGGAAACUGGAUAACUUGAGUGCAGAAGAGGGUAGUGGAACUCCAUGUGUAGCGGUGGAAUGCGUAGAUAUAUGGAAGAACACCAGUGGCGAAGGCGGCUACCUGGUCUGCAACUGACGCUGAGACUCGAAAGCAUGGGUAGCGAACAGGAUUAGAUACCCUGGUAGUCCAUGCCGUAAACGAUGAGUGCUAGGUGUUGGAGGGUUUCCGCCCUUCAGUGCCGGAGCUAACGCAUUAAGCACUCCGCCUGGGGAGUACGACCGCAGGGUUGAAACUCAAAGGAAUUGACGGGGGCCCGCACAAGCGGUGGAGCAUGUGGUUUAAUUCAAAGCUACGCGAAGAACCUUACCAGGUCUUGACAUCUUGUGCCAACCCUAGAGAUAGGGCGUUUCCUUCGGGAACGCAAUGACAGGUGGUGCAUGGUCGUCGUCAGCUCGUGUCGUGAGAUGUUGGNNNANNNNNCGCAACGAGCGCAACCCUUGUUACUAGUUGCCAGCAUUAAGUUGGGCACUCUAGUGAGACUGCCGGUGACAAACCGGAGGAGGGUGGGGACGACGUCAGAUCAUCAUGCCCCUUAUGACCUGGGCUACACACGUGCUACAAUGGACGGUACAACGAGUCGCGAACUCGCGAGGGCAAGCAAAUCUCUUAAAACCGUUCUCAGUUCGGACUGCAGGCUGCAACUCGCCUGCACGUAGUCGGAAUCGCUAGUAAUCGCGGAUCAGCAUGCCGCGGUGAAUACGUUCCCGGGCCU